GCUGGCAUAGUUUAAUGGUAAAACUCUAGUUUUGUAAACUAGCUUUGCGGGUUCAAUUCCUGCUGCCAGCUCCA
rnacentral:tRNA from 1 species